CAGUCGCCGCGGGAAUACAGAGGGUGCAAGCGUUAAUCGGAAUUACUGGGCGUAAAGCGUGCGCAGGCGGUUAUAUAAGACAGAUGUGAAAUCCCCGGGCUCAACCUGGGACCUGCAUUUGUGACUGUAUAGCUAGAGUACGGUAGAGGGGGAUGGAAUUCCGCGUGUAGCAGUGAAAUGCGUAGAUAUGCGGAGGAACAUCGAUGGCGAAGGCAAUCCCCUGGACCUGUACUGACGCUCAUGCACGAAAGCGUGGGGAGCAAACAGGAUUAGAUACCCCUGUAGUCCCUGUCUCUUAUAC
rnacentral:rRNA from 1 species